rnacentral:rRNA from 1 species
CCCUUAGAUGUUCUGGGCCGCACGCGCGCUACACUGAUGCAUUCAACGAGUUUCUUCCUGGUCCGAGAGGAAUGGGUAACCUUUUGAAAGUGCAUCGUGAUAGGGAUAGACUAUUGCAAUUAUUGGUCUUCAACGAGGAAUUCCUAGUAGACGUAGUUCAUCAGACUGCAUCGAUUACGUCCCUGCCCUUUGUACACACCGCCCGUCGCUCCUACCGAUUGAAUGCUCAGGUGAGCCAUUCGGACUUUCAUCAUGCUGGUUUCCAGUUUUGAUGAAGGAAAGUCUUGCGAACCUUAUCAUCUAGAGGAAGGUGAAGUCGUAACA